UUGGUACCACUGCCCUUCUCUGUGUUGGARGBGAUGCACUGAACAGCCRAGGACCUCAGGCAGGGAACACAGCAGCAUCCACAGCACGAGCUGAACAGCAGACAAAGCCCAGAAGUCAGGAGGCACUUAACCAGUGUCAGGUUUCAAGAAAAGGCAGGAGAAAGGAAGAAGGGAGGAGGGGCCAAACACAGAGCAACACUGUGCCUCAGUUCUCCGUAGGGCUCCAGAAACUCAAAUGCUACCAACCACAAGUUGCAGUUCGAA